rnacentral:rRNA from 1 species
GACGAACGCUGGCGGCGUGCUUAACACAUGCAAGUCGAACAAUGAACCCGGAGCUUGCUCUGGGGGAUUAGUGGCGAACGGGUGAGUAACACGUGAGUAACCUGCCCUGGACUCUGGGAUAAGCGUUGGAAACGACGUCUAAUACCGGAUAGGACCUUGGAUCGCAUGAUCUGGGGUGGAAAGUUUUUUCGGUCUGGGAUGGACUCGCGGCCUAUCAGCUUGUUGGUGAGGUAAUGGCUCACCAAGGCGUCGACGGGUAGCCGGCCUGAGAGGGUGACCGGCCACACUGGGACUGAGACACGGCCCAGACUCCUACGGGAGGCAGCAGUGGGGAAUAGUGCACAAUGGGCGAAAGCCUGAUGCAGCAACGCCGCGUGCGGGAUGACGGCCUUCGGGUUGUAAACCGCUUUUAGUAGGGAAGAAGGGCUUCGGCUUGACGGUACCUGCAGAAAAAGGACCGGCUAACUACGUG